CUGAGAUCCAGGUGCCGGCAGGGCCACACCCCCUCUGAGGGCUCGGGGUAAGAAGCGUCCUGGCCUCUUCCAGCUCCCUGUGGCUCCAGGAUCCUGGGCUUGUGGCUGCGUCGCUCCUGCCUCUGCCUCUGUCUUCACGUGGCCUGUCCCCAUGUAUCUUUUCCUCUCCUCCUCAGGACAUUUGUCAUUGGAUUUAGGGCCCACCCAGAAUCCAGGAGGGGCUCAUCUUCAGAUCCUUAAUGACAUCUACAAAGAUUCCAGGGCAGGUAACUGCAGAGCUCCCCCGAGUCCUGUGCACGCCUCGGCUCACACUGCAGCUCAGCAGCAGCAACGCGGGUGACAGAAACCAGCUCUGUGUCUGUGAGCCUCUGCCUCACCUUCUGGGGGAUGGCACAGUAUUGCUUUAAUUCAGAUGUUACAGUCACAUCCAGUGCUAAGGGCUGUCCUAGCUAGAAAGUGGGAAGGUGCCCGGGCUGCAAGCACAGCCUUGGGGGAGGAUGAGGCCACAUAAUUCUCUCUGCCCACACUCUCAGAAUGCCCCAAGAAGUUAGUAGCUACACAAAGCCAAGCCUUGGGGGAAAACCUGGUCCGUGGUGUGGACUCUCCAAAAUGCAGACCCAACCGGAGGCCGGGCCCGCCUUUCCAUCUGGAGGCACUGCAGGGCUUCUGAAAGCGGCCCAUCCCAGGAGCCUGGCAAACACCCCCAGAGACCCUCAGGAUGCGCCAGCCCCGGGGCUUUGUCCUGAGAAGCUGGAGCUCCGUGGCCCAGCUUGUGGAUGGGUGCCCAGGGGGCAGGCCCCAUGCCCUCAGCACGUGCUGACACGCUCCCUCCGGCUCCAACAACCACACCAGAACCUUCCGUAGAACAUUUAAGUAAUGAAGUCUCAACAUUACAGUAAAAAGGUGCAAAGGGUCUCUUUUACAAAUAUUUAUGUACAGCCAAGAUCUUGUUGAGUUCAGUAUAGCAUGCUGCGCGUACACAUACGCAGUGUGCACACGGAUUCAGGGAACUGAGCGGUGAGCGGCACGCUGGAAGACGAGAUCACACAUGAUGCUAUUUUACUUUUGAUCCCAUGUGCUUUCCUGGGCAUGAUAUUUUAGAUGGAACUUUUUCUGGUCUGUGAUCUUUGGUAGAAAAAAGGUCUCUAGGAUUAUUAUAAAAAUGUUGCAUCUAUUAAAAAGAAAAGGGAAAAAAGACAGCUUGCCUCAGCUGGCCCAACCCCUGUCGCAAACACCUGAUCGCAGGGUGGUCCCCUCCACCUGGGUAGGCCCUGUCCACCUUCUGUGAUGGGAGAGAGCCCACAGUGGUUACCCGAACCACCCUUCUCAGGCCUCGCUGGAGGCCCCGGGGCUCCAGGCUCCCUGUCAUGUGCUCAGCCCAGUGUUCCUCGGUGAUUCGUAAGGACUGGGUGAGUGAAUGAAUGAAGUAAGGAAAGGUAAAACCAGAGACGUGAGGGCCACGGGUCACCUGUGACUCGGCCAAGCUGCUGGCUCCAGUGCCAGCCCCUGGUUGUGGAUUCCAGAACUUUCUAGGCAACAAAGUAACCUCCCAGCAGAGGUUAUCACCAACAAGACGCAGCUGCCUGCCUGAGACACACCCCAACAGGAAACACCCUUGGUGCAGUUUAACCAGGGGGCCCGAAGGCCUGAGAGAAGGUGCGUGGCCAUGGGUCUCGCGGCUGGCCACACGGUAAGUGGGCUCCAUGCUGAGCCUGGGCUGCUCUGCCCUGCCACCCCUCCAGGCUUCUGCUCCUGGCAGGCUCUAGGGGGCAGCCAGUCCCCACACAUAGGGCACAGUUCCACUUGGCAGACUCAGCCACGUUUAUUCGCCUUUCCAAAUGGCGACUUUCCCCUCCUCCCUGCCCGACCCACUCAGCACGUAUCUGUCCUCAGCCGAGCACAGCGUCCUCACGGUGUCCAUGUGCGCCACCAGCUCCUUCUCCACGGUCUUCCUCUCGGCGUCAAUCACGUAGAUUUUCCCCUUGGGUGUUCCCUGCCCCAGCCCUCGGCUGCCCACCCAGACCUGCCAGGGAGAAACGGGAGGGGUCAGCAGGGAAAGAAGCCCCUCCCAAGAGCACCAGGGCUUUGCCCGGCUACCCAGAAUUGACGCGUGUGCCUCCAAAUCUAUGUCCUUCCUGGACAGGGCCUCUGCCGCCUGAGGGUCAGGGCCGCCUGGCAGGUGCACAGGACCCUUCUCGGGCUUAGAACCUAAUGGCCGAGGGGCCUCUGGGGAAGAAGACUGC
rnacentral:lncRNA from 1 species